AGUCUCUACAACACAAGUGCGGGCUGGUUCGCUUGCGAACCAGCCCGAGGAAAGUCCGAACACUCCCACAUUUAUUUGUGGAACCAGGUAGCAGGUAACGCCUGUCGUAGGUAACUAUAGAGGUGCGAGCAGUGACGUCGGCGGCGAAAGCCAAUGAAUUCCUUUGGGAAUAAUCCAGUGGUAACACUGGGGUGAAACGGCAAAAUCCUUAUCCGAGUGCAAGGCCGAGCUACGUUUAUCGUAGAGUGCCGCUACAGGUGAUUGGCGACAAUCAUCGCAGACACAUACUUGUGCAUCCGUAUCUUAUGGAUACGGGGGACAAAAUUCGGCUUAUUAGUAGAGACCAGCU
rnacentral:RNase_P_RNA from 1 species